GGGGAAGGACCAUAGUUCAGUAGUAGAGCAUCUGCUUUGCAUGCAGAAGGUCCCAGGUCCAAUUCCUCACUUCUUCA